rnacentral:rRNA from 1 species
UACGGAGGUGGCAAGCGUUGCUCGGAAUCACUGGGCGUAAAGGGCGCGUAGGCGGGGAGGUAAGUCGGGUGUGAAAUCCCUCGGCCCAACCGAGGAACUGCGUCCGAGACUGCUUCUCUUGAGUCCCGGAGAGGAAGAUGGAAUUCCCGGUGUAGCGGUGAAAUGUGUAGAGAUCGGGAGGAACACCGGUGGCGAAGGCGGUCUUCUGGACGGUGACUGACGCUGAGGCGCGAAAGCGUGGGGAGCAAACGGG